rnacentral:rRNA from 1 species
UACGAAGGGGGCUAGCGUUGCUCGGAAUCAUUGGGCGUAAAGCGCGCGUAGGCGGCCCGAUAAGUCCGUUGUGAAAGUCAAAGGCUCAACCUUUGAACGCCGAUGGAUACUGUCGGGCUAGAGUCCGGAAGAGGCGAGUGGAAUUCCUGGUGUAGCGGUGGAAUGCGCAGAUAUCAGGAGGAACACCAAUAGCGAAGGCAGCUCGCUGGGACGGUACUGACGCUAAGGCGCGAAAGCGUGGGGAGUGAACAGG